GUGGGGAAUUUUCCGCAAUGGACGAAAGUCUGACGGAGCAACGCCGCGUGGGUGAAGAAGGCCUUCGGGUUGUAAAGCCCUGUCUUAUGGGAAGAAGAAAGUGACGGUACCAUAGGAGGAAGCCACGGCUAACUACGUGCCAGCAGCCGCGGUAAUACGUAGGUGGCAAGCGUUGUCCGGAAUUAUUGGGCGUAAAGCGCGCGCAGGUGGGAUCUUAAGUCCAUUUUGAAAGUUCGGAGCUCAACUCCGUGAUGGGAUGGAAACUGGGAUUCUUGGGUACCGGAGAGAAAAUCGGAAUUCCCCGUGUAGCGGUGAAAUGCGUAGAUAUGGGGAGGAACACCAGUGGCGAAGGCGGCUUUCUGGACGGUGUCUGACACUGAGGCGCGAAAGCCAGGGGAGCGAACGGGAUUAGAAACCCCUGUAGUCC
rnacentral:rRNA from 1 species